CACUAACUGGAGGACCGAACCGACUAAUGUUGAAAAAUUAGCGGAUGACUUGUGGCUGGGGGUGAAAGGCCAAUCAAACCGGGAGAUAGCUGGUUCUCCCCGAAAGCUAUUUAGGUAGCGCCUCGUGAAUUCAUCUCCGGGGGUAGAGCACUGUUUCGGCAAGGGGGUCAUCCCGACUUACCAACCCGAUGCAAACUGCGAAUACCGGAGAAUGUUAUCACGGGAGACACACGGCGGGUGCUAACGUCCGUCGUGAAGAGGGAAACAACCCAGACCGCCAGCUAAGGUCCCAAAGUCAUGGUUAAGUGGGAAACGAUGUGGGAAGGCCCAGACAGCCAGGAUGUUGGCUUAGAAGCAGCCAUCAUUUAAAGAAAGCGUAAUAGCUCACUGGUCGAGUCGGCCUGCGCGGAAGAUGUAACGGGGCUAAACCAUGCACCGAAGCUGCGGCAGCGACGCUGAUGCGUUGUUGGGUAGGGGAGCGUUCUGUAAGCCUGCGAAGGUGUGCUGUGAGGCAUGCUGGAGGUAUCAGAAGUGCGAAUGCUGACAUAAGUAACGAUAAAGCGGGUGAAAAGCCCGCUCGCCGGAAGACCAAGGGUUCCUGUCCAACGUUAAUCGGGGCAGGGUGAGUCGACCCCUAAGGCGAGGCCGAAAGGCGUAGUCGAUGGGAAACAGGUUAAUAUUCCUGUACUUGGUGUUACUGCGAAGGGGGGACGGAGAAGGCUAUGUUGGCCGGGCGACGGUUGUCCCGGUUUAAGCGUGUAGGCUGGUUUUCCAGGCAAAUCCGGAAAAUCAAGGCUGAGGCGUGAUGACGAGGCACUACGGUGCUGAAGCAACAAAUGCCCUGCUUCCAGGAAAAGCCUCUAAGCAUCAGGUAACAUCAAAUCGUACCCCAAACCGACACAGGUGGUCAGGUAGAGAAUACCAAGGCGCUUGAGAGAACUCGGGUGAAGGAACUAGGCAAAAUGGUGCCGUAACUUCGGGAGAAGGCACGCUGAUAUGUAGGUGAAGCGACUUGCUCGUGGAGCUGAAAUCAGUCGAAGAUACCAGCUGGCUGCAACUGUUUAUUAAAAACACAGCACUGUGCAAACACGAAAGUGGACGUAUACGGUGUGACGCCUGCCCGGUGCCGGAAGGUUAAUUGAUGGGGUUAGCGCAAGCGAAGCUCUUGAUCGAAGCCCCGGUAAACGGCGGCCGUAACUAUAACGGUCCUAAGGUAGCGAAAUUCCUUGUCGGGUAAGUUCCGACCUGCACGAAUGGCGUAAUGAUGGCCAGGCUGUCUCCACCCGAGACUCAGUGAAAUUGAACUCGCUGUGAAGAUGCAGUGUACCCGCGGCAAGACGGAAAGACCCCGUGAACCUUUACUAUAGCUUGACACUGAACAUUGAGCCUUGAUGUGUAGGAUAGGUGGGAGGCUUUGAAGUGUGGACGCCAGUCUGCAUGGAGCCGACCUUGAAAUACCACCCUU
rnacentral:rRNA from 1 species